UACAUAGGGAGCGAGCGUUAUCCGGAAUUAUUGGGUGUAAAGGUGCGUAGACGGGAAUUUAAGUUAGUUGUGAAAUCCCUCGGCUCAACUGAGGAACUGCAACUAAAACUGGAUUUCUUGAGUGCGGGAGAGGAAAGUGGAAUUCCUAGUGUAGCGGUAAAAUGCGUAGAUAUUAGGAGGAACACCAGUGGCGAAGGCGACUUUCUGGACCGUAACUGACGUUGAGGCACGAAAGUGUGGGGAGCAAACA
rnacentral:rRNA from 1 species